UACGUAGGGUGCUAGCGUUGCUCGGAAUUACUGGGCGUAAAGGGCGCGUAGGCGGCCAUUUAAGUCGGGGGUGAAAGCCUGUGGCUCAACCACAGAAUUGCCUUCGAUACUGUUUGGCUUGAGUCCGGAAGAGGUGAGUGGAACUGCGAGUGUAGAGGUGAAAUUCGUAGAUAUUCGCAAGAACACCAGUGGCGAAGGCGGCCGACUGGUCCGGUUCUGACGCUGAGGCGCGAAAGCGUGGGGAGCAAACAGG
rnacentral:rRNA from 1 species